CCUCACUUUACAAAAGAAGAAAAUAAGGCUCAGAGAGUGACACUUGCCCAGGGUCACACCAUUGACUGGUAACAAAGGACUAGAACACAGCCCUUUGACUACACCGAAAUAUGAUCGCCCAUCAGAUGGGGUCUCGCUGUGUUGCCCAGACUGAUCUCCAACUCUUGACCUCAAGGGAUCCUGCUGUGUAGUUGGGAUUACAGAUUACUAUGCAUUAGAAAAAUGUUGGAAAGGAUAAAAGAGGACAAAGAAGAAAAUGAAAAUCAUAGAUAAUAUUAAAAACUUUACCUAAAAAUAAACCUGUGAACUAUUUUAUUUAUAUUCUUAUCCAGCUUCUUAUGUCAUCUUUAUUGUUAUGGUA
rnacentral:lncRNA from 1 species